UACGGGGGGGGGCAAGCGUUGUUCGGAAUUACUGGGCGUAAAGGGCUCGUAGGCGGCCAACUAAGUCGGACGUGAAAUCCCCAGGCUCAACCUGGGAACUGCGUCCGAUACUGGAUGGCUUGAAUCCGGGAGAGGGAUGCAGAAUUCCAGGUGUAGCGGUGAAAUGCGUAGAUAUCUGGAGGAAUACCGGUGGCGAAGGCGGCAUCCUGGACCGGCAUUGACGCUGAGGAGCGAAAGCCAGGGAGCAAAGCGGG
rnacentral:rRNA from 1 species